rnacentral:ribozyme from 1 species
AAAAAAAAAAAAAAAUACGUAAAAAAACAAAAAAUGUUAAAUCCCCUCCUCCCUUUCCUUUUUUUCAUCUUUUUC